UCCAGUAACCACCGGAUCCAACAACCUAGUUAGGGACAAACCCCCCAAACAAGGCUCAACACAAUUUCUAUUAGAAAAACCAGCAACUGAACAUACUAAACAAACAAAACCUUACAAACAUAAAGACACAAAGCCUCCAAGAGAACAAUCCGAGACUGCAACUUUGCAGAAAGCAGCCUCCCAAAUCCAAACCAUCAACACAAACAGACCAGAACCCCAUCCCAACAUCCAAACACAACCCCCGACCUCUCAGCAAUUUUGAGGAAACUUGUAAAGAAUCAUCGAUUUAACUUCCCAUCUAAUUUUAGAAAGAAGAGCUUCUUCCGUCUUGGGAUUUCUACCAUGAACAAGACAAUUUCUUUGCAUCCACAAAUUAUAAACCGUAGCAGUAAAGCAGAGUUUACGGGCUGUAGAGUGUAAAUUCUUCCCUUUCAUACCAGCCGAGCUCCAUUUCACAAUCAAAUCCCAAUCAUCUGGAGGAUCCAGCACCUUACAGUCAGCCAUGAUGGAUCUCCAUAUCUUCCUACUAAAGUUACACUGAAAGAAAAGAUGUGGGAAGUUUGCUGAGGCGGGGAACUCCUCUAACCACUGUGCAAAAGGGGAAUUUCAAGGUUUUACCCGGUGCUGAAGAUGUGGAGGGGGGAAAACGAUAUGCCAUCGGGUAGAUUUCCCGCUAGCUAAAGCUCUUGUCCGAAACUCCAAAAAAACCACCAAGUAACUCCCUCAUCACAGCUCUAUCUAGCUCAACGACAAAAUGGACCAUAUUCAGGCCGCUGUGAAGUUGCAGAAAAUGUACAGGAGUUUUCGCCAGCGGCGCAUGUUAGCGGACACCAUUAUAAUGGAGCUCUGGGGGCACGCGAUAGACUUUGCUCGACUGAAUAUCAGUACGACUUUCUUCUUCCAGUGCGUGAAUGAGAAAUGUUCGAAUACUCGGUGGACUCGUAUUGGCUUUAAUGCUUCUCUGGUGGGCAGAGGCUUGUCUGAGAAUGAGGAAGCACAAAUGUUGGCUUUUGACCAUUGGAUUGAAGCUAUUGAUCCACGACAUCGUUAUGGGCAUCACUUACGCCUGUACUACAACCAGUGGUGCAGUUCUAAUGCUGGUCAACCUUUUUUUUAUUGGUUGGAUCUAGGUGCUGGCAAGGAGAUAGAUCUCGCAGAAUGCCCAAGAUCAAUCCUUCAAGAACGUCGCGUUAAGUAUCUUGGACCUCUAGAGAGGAACCAAUAUGAAUAUAUCGUUUCUGAAGGGAAAUUUAUUCACAAACGAAGUGGACAUGACCUUCAUACAAUUCAAGGAUCACAAGCAGCCAAGUGGAUAUUCGUGUUCAGCACCUCCAGGAGACUCUACGUCGGUAAGAAAGAGAAAGGGAGGUUCCAUCAUUCUAGCUUCUUGGCCGGAGGAGCUACCCUAGCUGCCGGAAGCUUAGUGGCAGAACAUGGAAUUCUCAAGUCCAUCUCUCGAUGUAGUGGACACUACCGGCCAAGAGACGACAGCCUGAAGCGCUUUUUAUCCUUCCUCGCUGAAUACGGAGUGAACCUUAAUGGAGUUCAGAUGUAUAGAGCUGCCUUUUAUAAUGAAUGACCCGAGUGGAGUUGAGAUGUCCUCUUAUUCGUAUUGCCUGUCCUUUCUGAAGAAGAAGCUCAUGUGAAAAUACAUUAUAGUCUCACCUGGUCGAAUAAGCAGAUAGAACCAACACAAAGUUGCGCCUGUAAGAUUGCCUGAUCGAGCAAUGGCUUGCAUCGUUUGAGAAGUAUGGUCGAUCAAGACGAUAAAGGUUCAGAUCGAUGUACGUGAGAGUACUUUUGUGUGAUGGUACUUUUGACUAAUGACAUUGAGUAGUUAAUAAAAUCAUUUUUGGAUCCAAAUUAAACCACUUAUAGUCUCUAUUACGUUUAUCUCUUGCCUUUCCUAUUUUGUUCCACGUCCUACUUUGGCUGUGUAUUGGGUAUGGCUGCAAACCUACUAAGCAAGAAUUAGGGAUACGAUAGAAUGAGUACUCGGGUUCUAUUGAGUUUUAUCUAGCUGUUCGGAUUGUUUGGACACCUAUCUAAACAAGUGUAAUUCAUGUUUCCUCUUAUAUAAAAUUACCGAUUGCACGA